rnacentral:rRNA from 1 species
AUUGAACGCUGGCGGCAGGCUUAACACAUGCAAGUCGAGCGGAGAUGAGGUGCUUGCACCUUAUCUUAGCGGCGGACGGGUGAGUAAUGCUUAGGAAUCUGCCUAUUAGUGGGGGACAACAUUCCGAAAGGAAUGCUAAUACCGCAUACGUCCUACGGGAGAAAGCAGGGGAGCUUCGGGCCUUGCGCUAAUAGAUGGGGCUAAGUCGGAUUAGCUAGUUGGUGGGGUAAAGGCCUACCAAGGCGACGAUCUGUAGCGGGUCUGAGAGGAUGAUCCGCCACACUGGGACUGAGACACGGCCCAGACUCCUACGGGAGGCAGCAGUGGGGAAUAUUGGACAAUGGGCGGAAGCCUGAUCCAGCCAUGCCGCGUGUGUGAAGAAGGCCUUUUGGUUGUAAAGCACUUUAAGCGAGGAGGAGGCUACUAGUACUAAUACUACUGGAUAGUGGACGUUACUCGCAGAAUAAGCACCGGCUAACUCUGUGCCAGCCGCCGCGGUAAUAC